rnacentral:rRNA from 1 species
UACAGAGGUGGCAAGCGUUGUUCGGAAUUACUGGGCGUAAAGCGUGCGCAGGCGGUUCGUUAAGUCAGAUGUGAAAGCCCCGGGCUCAACCUGGGAACUGCAUUUGAAACUGGCGGGCUUGAGUGCGGCAGAGGGGGGUGGAAUUCCGCGUGUAGCAGUGAAAUGCGUAGAGAUGCGGAGGAACACCGAUGGCGAAGGCAGCCCCCUGGGCCGACACUGACGCUCAGGCACGAAAGCGUGGGGAGCAAACAGG